UGAAUCACCUUGACACCUUGUCGGUUGUCAGUACUCAGUACUCGGUAGUCGGUACUCUGUAAGUUGUCGUCAUCAUUUGCUACUAUCACGCGGUUGUGACUUGCGGUGCGUUUGUUCGUCCGUUAUUAAACGUUUGGUCCGCUACAGUGAUCGCGCUGAAGCUCAUCCCUCGAACGACCAACCUUUGAGGUCCGCUCACUUACCUUCAACCAACGGUCAUUUCAUAAGUUACCCGUUGUCCCAAUACACGCCAUGCCACCCCUGGCCGCUGUAAGAACGUUACCCGAAGAAGACGUCAAACUACCCGGCAUUAAUGCAGUUUUGCUCGGACCACCCGGUUCGGGCAAGGGGACACAGGCACCAAAACUGUUGCAGAAAUUUUACUCGUGUCAUUUGUCCACCGGAGACAUGUUGCGCUCUGAAGUGGCUUCUGGCUCGGAACUGGGUCAGAGAGUAAAAAAAGUCAUAGAAUCAGGUAAUCUGGUUAGUGAUGAUCUAGUUGUGGAUUUGAUUGAUCAAAAUUUAGAUAGACCAGAAUGUAGACAAGGAUUCUUAUUAGAUGGUUUCCCACGAACAGUACCUCAAGCUGAAAAACUGGACAAUCUUUUAGAAAAACGUAAAACCCAGUUAGACUCUGUGAUCGAGUUUAACAUUAGUGACAGUUUAUUGGUACGUCGUAUAACAGGGCGUUUGAUACACCCUGCUAGCGGCCGAUCUUAUCAUGACGAAUUCCAUCCACCAAAAGUUCAUAUGAAAGAUGAUGUAACUGGUGAGUCAUUAAUUCGCCGUGCUGAUGAUAAUGUGGAUGCUUUAAAAAAACGUCUUGAAUCAUAUCAUAAACAAACAUCUCCAUUGAUAGAUUAUUAUCAGAAAAAAGGAAUUCAUGCUAAAGUUGAUGCCUCUAAAAGUUCUGAUGAAGUUUUCAAAAUGGUAGAAAAUAUAUUUUUACGUUGUUCAAGUUCAGCCAAUAAAGACAGAGUUUAAUUUAAACCAAAAAAAAAAAAAACCAGUGAUUUUGGGAAUUCUUGCAUACAGUAUCAGAUCCAGGAUAUUUGACAACUCGGGGCUAAUAUAAAUUUAGCGCCCUUAUAUACUAUUAGUGUGCGGGUUGUCAAUACUUAAGUACGCCCUUACACCUACGCGUCUUAACCCCGUGCCCAGGGCAAAGAUAUCCACUUCCCCCCUCUCUCCUAGAUCUGGCACUGCUUGCAUAACACACCACCAUAUUAGAAAAUUAGAGGAGAAAUAACUAAUGGACCAAUUAUACCUAUAUGAUUAUUUCAUCACCAAGUGUAAUUUUAGUUCAAUGGAAAAUAGAAUAAAGAAUUAUUUAAACAUUGUGAGCAUAACUACAUCAAUUUGGUCUGCUCACUUUGCUCAUAAAACUUGUUUGUGAUACAGAAAAAUUUACUUAACUAAUAAGUAAUAACUAUUUUAAAGGCAAUAGACAACUAUUAAUUAUAGUACCCUUAUUUACAGCACAAAUAUAUUUAUAUUUACAUAAUUAUAUUACUAUAUUGUAAUAUGUUAUAUUUCUAUUUGUAAUAAAAUGUUAAUCAUUAGUAAGUACAUUUUUCAGGAAUAUUCAUAUAAAUCGAAUUUUUCAUUUUUGUUUCAAUAUUUAUCAGUAAUAAAUAAUGAAAAUAUCGGCUACAAAUAUUCUGGCCUUGAUAGUUACAGUUAAACAUAGGUACAUAUAUAUAUUUUAAGGUUUGUGUGAUGCAAUACUGCGAUGAAUGUACGAAUGAAUGUACCUAUUGUUUUUACAAUGAUGUAUUUUUUUUUUUUUUGUAUCCGAAGAUACUUUUUAUAGUAGCUUUUAUUAAUGUCAAUAACGACGUAGGUAUUAGAAUAAAUAGGUUCGAGGACUCGGGAGUUGGGAGUAUAGACUAAAGAGGUAUAGAUUAAAAUGUGUGUAAUUAUACAAAUAAAUUAUUUCUUCAUA